CACCCUGGCAGCUUCUCUUAGCAACCAGGGCUAUCUUUCACAAUUGUAACAAAGUUGGUUCAAAUACAAAUACGAAACUGCUUUUUGAGAGAGUUUUCGGAGGCAAAACCAAAUUGACCGAUUGACCAGAGCUUAACUUUUUACACAGAUUAAGAAAAUCAUAGCAAGAUUUGAAAACCGCUGGAAAGCAGUUCCACCAGCCCGAACAAUGGGCAAAAAAAAAAAAUAGGAGACACCCACGUUUGCAGUCCAGGAUACUGUUUCGAAUCUAAAAACCAACAAUAGGUUCCAGAGAUUAGGAUGCGGGCAUCUCUGGGGAGCCAUUGUUCUACCACAGUGGAUAGAGCAGCCAAGGCAGGUGUUCCUGAGGAGGAAGUGAAUGGUGGGGCUUCGGCUCUGACUUCUCCUCUGGUGUCCAGGAGCACAGCACCUCCGGCCCCUCAGUCUCAUGGAUCCCUCUGGCCUCCCUCUUGGAUAUCCUGGCUUUGGUUAAAGUACAUCCUUAUGAAGGAAUGCACAAGAGAAUGGCAUCAAUCAAAUUUAAAAUAAUGCAAUCCUCAUUUGGCAUCAAGCCUUGGAGACAUCUUAAAACCUAUUCUCUGGCCUUCGAGGAUAUCCUGAUGAUCCAUGAGAAAUGUCAAAAUGAUCCCCGAUUUCCACAGUGGAUUACAACUUCAAGAGCAGCGCCUAUCACUGAAAGGAAGACAAAAUGGAAGAAGAAAAGCCAGACCUACAACACCUGGAACAUCACGAUUAUUUCUGGAAACCUCACUUUAAGAAGAAUACCAACAAACCAAAGUGGUGGGGAAACGUGUCUGGGGAGAUGUCGGAAACCAGGACCAUGUCAUACCAGAAAUCAUCUUUAGAAACCAGUAUUCUCAUAUAGGAAAAGAAAAGCCAUGGGAAGAGGCAACUGACCCUCGGAGAAUCUGAAUUAUUUGCCAAGCAAGCCAUUCAAAGGAAGGAUCCUGCUUCAUCGAUCUUUUCAACUCAAGGGGCUGCCAUGUGCCAGCUCCUCGGCAUAUUAUUUCAAGGGUUCCCAAAGUGUGGCCCCCAGGCCAGCGGCAGCAGCUUCACCUGGGGACUUGUGAGAAAUGCAAGUUGCCAGGCCCUGCCCUAGAACCCCUGAUUCCGACACACUGAGUACAGGGCCCAGCGACCUAUGUUCUCACAAGCCCUCCAGGAGAUUUCGAUGUGCAUAAAAGUGUGGGAAAAGCCUGAUCUUAAUUAAGAAAGGUGAAUGGAGCUGCAUGCAGCUGGAAAGGGCUAGAUCUAGGUUCUUGAGAGUCCUGAGGCCAAAGUCAAAGGGAAGAGCCAUAGUGAGAGGCCCAAGGGUACAAAGUUUCAGAGAGCUUGGAAAGUAGCAUCCCAGCUAUGGACUGACCCUUGAUGGAGUCUCCCUACCUUGUGCAGUUUCUUAAAGGAGCCACCUGCCCUCAAACCCCAGUGGGGCAGGAUUUGCCCAGGGCUGCCACGCUGCACCUCAUAUCUCUGCCAGCAACCUGCGUGGAAUCCAGGGCCCUUCCCUGCCACGAACACAAUUAGUCAAGUUUCCAUUUUUCUCUCUUCCUCCAAAAUCCCUCCCAGUGGGGGCCACCAGAGGAAAGAAAAUUUCAUCUUGCAACAAAACCAGAUUUAUCUGUGUUCUUUGCACAACAAUACAAUGAAAGCCCAAAUGAUUUUUCCACAUUUGGUAGCACUUAGAAGCUUUUCAUCAGCACAAGAAUAAAGAAGAGAACUAUUUUCCUCAUUUCUGUUUACGGCAGCGAUAUGGCAGAAAGAAAACAAUUUAAAUCUAUAAAUUACGAAGAUGCUUUUGACUUAAGACAAGCACCAAAGUUUCAGUCAUUUAUCUAGAAUCACAGCUUGUCUGCGAUGAAAAAGGCCCGAGAGAUCGUCUGGUCGGUGCAAGAUGAUUUGCAGUUCUUCCCAGAUACAGCUUCUUUUAAAGGGCUGUAUCCAUAUUCUAAUAGAGAUCAGGAAAAAAUACAUAGCUUUCGUAUCAAACCCAUAAUUUCACGGCUAUUAUUGCUUACGGUGAAGCUAAAGUUGUUAUUCUGAUAAAAAUAAAAGUAGAGAGAAGAAGCAGGAAGGAUAGAGCUCAACCUUUCCUUCCACUCCAAUCUCCUGCCUCUACUUCCCAUUGGCCAAAGCCAACUGGAAGCCAGAGGGCAAAGCAGUCAGGUGAUCUGAGGGGUAAGGGCUAGCCUCUAGGACACAGGUGCCAUAGAGGAUGAGUCCUGUGGCAGGAAAGGCAACACCUAGUGUCUCUUCCACGUGCCCCUUUCACGGGUGCAGAGCUAUCCGACCAGUAGACAGCAUUGGGUGGGGAGUGGUGCUGUAGGGACAUUCACCAGGCUGGUCAGAAAUACUACCAGGGGUA